rnacentral:rRNA from 1 species
CUGCAGCCCGAGUGGUGAUCGAUUUUAUUGAGCCUAAAGCGUCCGUAGCCGGACUAGUAAACCCUUGGGUAAAUUGGGCAGUUUAACUGUCCAAAUUCCGAGGGGACUGCUAGUCUUGGGACCGGGAGAGGUCAGAGGUACUCAGGGGGUAGGGGCUAAAUCCUGUAAUCCUUUGGGGACCACCAGUGGCGAAGGCGUCUGACUAGAACGGAUCCGACGGUAAGGGACGAAACCCUGGGGCGCGAACCGGAUUAGAUACCCGCGUAGUCC